rnacentral:rRNA from 1 species
AUGUGGUUUAAUUCGAAGCAACGCGCAGAACCUUACCAGCGUUUGACAUGGUAGGACGACUGGCAGAGAUGCCUUUCUUCCCUUCGGGGACCUACACACAGGUGCUGCAUGGCUGUCGUCAGCUCGUGUCGUGAGAUGUUGGGUUAAGUCCCGCAACGAGCGCAACCCUCGACUUUAGUUACCAUCAUUAAGUUGGGUACUUUAAAGUAACCGCCGGUGAUAAGCCGGAGGAAGGUGGGGAUGACGUCAAGUCCUCAUGGCCCUUACGCGCUGGGCUACACACGUGCUACAAUGGCAAGUACAGUGGGCAGCAAUCCCGCGAGGGUGAGCUAAUCUCCAAAACUUGUCUCAGUUCGGAUUGUUCUCUGCAACUCGAGAGCAUGAAGGCGGAAUCGCUAGUAAUCGCGGAUCAGCAUGCCGCGGUGAAAUACGUUCCCAGGCCGUUC